AAAUCUGUUGUGCCCUUCUUCCUCCUAGGCACAUUCUGCGGCUUUUUCGGGGUCAGGACAAAUGACUGGCCCUGUCUAAAGUCAUCACCAAGUCACUCUGCCAGAAAGGGGACAGAACCAUCUGUGGCCGCUUGGGUUCUUCCUGUGCACACAGGAGGUCAAGAGAUCAUCCCAGGAGACAGUGCAGGCCUCGCAGGUGAAACUGUUCUCUUUUUUUUAAUUACUACUUGGACCUCAGAGAACCAGGAUGUCUUCAGCUGUUGUAAUCUUGCCCUUGAGUGUCACAGCAUCAUGGGACCACUGAGGCCGUGGCUGAGACUGGAGGUACACAGAGUUGUUUCUGCAUGCCAUAGACAUCUUGAGGGCAAUUGGGCCUCAGACAGCCCUAAUCAUAAUUUAAUUAUGAAAUGAUUUUUCCCCAAAAUUUAUAUAGCAUGGUUCUCAACACUUAUAUGUAAAAGAGAAAAACUUCAAUUUAGGAGAAAAAUCUUUAGAAUUUAAAAAAGAUGAGGCAAAGAGUUCUUAAGUUUGAUACCAUAUGCACAACCACA
rnacentral:lncRNA from 1 species